GACAGAGGGUGCAAACGUUGUCCGGAUUUACUGGGCGUAAAGAGCGCGCAGGCGGUCGUGCAAGUCGCGUGUGAAAGCCCCCGGCUCAACUGGGGAUGGUCACGCGAUACUGCUCGACUCGAAGGCAGGAGAGGGAAGUGGAAUUCCCGGUGUAGUGGUGAAAUGCGUAGAUAUCGGGAGGAACACCAGUGGCGAAGGCGACUUCCUGGCCUGUUCUUGACGCUGAGGCGCGAAAGCUAGGGUAGCAAACGGG
rnacentral:rRNA from 1 species